CCUACGGGAGGCAGCAGUGGGGAAUAUUGGGCAAUGGGCGCAAGCCUGACCCAGCAACGCCGCGUGAAGGAAGAAGGCUUUCGGGUUGUAAACUUCUUUUAAGAGGGAAGAGCAGAAGACGGUAUCUCUUGAAUAAGCCACGGCUAACUAUGUGCCAGCAGCCGCGGUAAUACGUAGGUGGCAAGCGUUGUCCGGAUUUAGGGGGUGUAAAGGGCGGGCAGCGGGGAAGAAAAGUCAGAUGUGAAAUCCCGCGGCUCAACCGCGGAACUGCAUUUGAAACUGUUUUUCUUGAGUACCGGAGAGGUCGUCGGCAUUCCUUUUGUAGCGGUGACAUGC
rnacentral:rRNA from 1 species